GAAUCAUUGGGCGUAAAGCGCCUGUAGGUUGUUUAAUAAGUCCGUUGUUAAAGACUAGGGCUUAACCCUAGGAAAGCGAUGGAAACUGAUAGACUUGAGUAUGGCAGGGGUAGAGGGAAUUUCUAGUGUAGCGGUGAAAUGCGUAGAUAUUAGAAAGAACACCGGUGGCGAAAGCGCUCUACUGGACCAUUACUGACACUGAGAGGCGAAAGCUAGGGGAGCGAAAGGGAUUAGAUACCCCUGUAGUCCUAGCCGUAAACGAUGGAUACUAGAUGUUGUGCAAUUUGGACAGUAUCGUAGCUAACGCGUUAAGUAUCCCGCCUGGGGAGUACGCUCGCAAGGGUGAAACUCAAAGGAAUUGACGGGGGCCCGCACAAGCGGUGGAGCAUGUGGUUUAAUUCGAUGCAACGCGAAGAACCUUACCAGGGCUUGACAUACUACAGAUCUUUUUGAGAAAGAAGAGUGCCUUCGGGAAUGUAGAUACAGGUGGUGCAUGGCUGUCGCCAGCUCGUGUCGUGAGAUGUUGGGUUAAGUCCCGCAACGAGCGCAACCCUCGUUUUUAGUUGCCAAUUUAUUGGGAUCUCUAGAAAGACUGCCGGUGACAAACCGGAGGAAGGUGAGGAUGACGUCAAGUCAGCAUGCCCCUUAUGUCCUGGGCCACACACGUGCUACAAUGGUAAAGACAAAGAGUCGCCAAUUCGCGAGAAUGAGCUAAUCUCAUAAACUUUAUCUAAGUUCGGAUUGUAGGCUGCAAC
rnacentral:rRNA from 1 species